UCUCAGGCCUCAGCGCACCCUGAAGGUUUUUGUUCUCCCGCUUGAAGGUCUCCAGGUGCUCCAGGGACUCCUCGUAGGCAUUCUUGAGCUUGAAGAGCUCUGUGCUGAGGGAGCGCGCCUCCUUCUGCGAGGACUCCAGCUCUGACUGCGACUCCUCAUACUUCUGCUUCCACUCGGCCAGGAUCUGCGGGGACCUGGCUCACUGCGUGGCCCCCAGCCCCGCCCCAGCCCCGCUCCAGGGCCUGCCCAGGUCCCUGGGCUGGGCUCAGCCUCCUCCCCUGCCCUCAAGGAGGAGGUCCCAGUCUUCACGGUGACGUUGGCCUCCCUGCUCCGCCCCUGGCUGCUCCGCCCCUGGCUGCGGCCUCCAGCUCGGGCCCACCUUGUCGAAAUUCCUCUGCUUCUUGUCCAGGGCUGCGGCGGCUGCAUUGGAGCGCUCCACAUCCACCAUCAGGUCCUCGAUCUCAUUCUGCAGUCGGUGCUUGGUCUUCUCCAGGGAUGAGCACUUGGCGUUGACGGCCUCCACGGCCUCCUCGGCGUCCUGCAGCCGCUGGGCCAGCUUCUUCCUGCCCGGGGCAGUUAGUGUGUGUGUGUGUGUGUGUGUGUGUGAUUCUACCUGGGAACAGUGGGACCUUGGAACCACCUCCUCCCCAGACCAGGUUGACCCAAUCCUCCUCCCCACAAUACCUUGGGACCCUGAACAGCCCUUUAGGCCCUGCGUCCCUAGCCUCGAGCAACCUAAGCCUGCGAGUGCCUAGGACAGAAUGUCUUCCCUACGUGCAGUGACCUCUGGGUGACAACCCCCACCCCUCCCCAUACCAGGCUGAUCGAUGGAAGCUCCUCUGACCAACAAGCUUUUUGCUCGUCUUAUACGUGAGCAUCAGGUAUAACCCGAGCCAAAAGCUCAUGCGUCACAGGAAGUGAGUCAGGGCCAGCCAGGUUCACUCAGAACACAAGAUCCAGGCUCCCUUUCAAUCAUCUCUGUUAGCCCCCAUGCUUCUUCCACCCUCCUCAGAUCUCCUUCCCAUGCCCACUCUGCCUGUCUUGCUCCUUCCUCUCUUAGAAUUGGGUGGGGGACUGCCCUGAACUUACUUGGCCUCUUCGAGCUCUUCAGUCCUCUGGAUGGCAUCUGUCUCGUACUUGGUCCUCCACUGGGCCACCUCUGAGUUGGCCUUGGACAGGACGCGCUGCAACUCAGCCUUGGCCUCUGUCUCCUCCUCGUACUGCUCCCGCAGCAGGUCACAGUCAUGUCGGGCUGACUGCAGUGCAUGGGCCAGGGCGUUCUUUGCCUGGGGAGGGGUGGGCACUGACAGACAGGCUCAUUUCCGAGGAAGGGAGGAGGGAAUGCCCCACCACCAUCAUUCUCUAGAUCCUUUUCAUAUCCAUGGACUUCAAACAAGCCCAGCCUCAAUUAGAGUGAGGGCUGGUGUGGAAUCUCAGCAUCUUGGAGUAGCCUCCCAGUUUGCCCACCCCACCCCCUUACAAAUAAGGAAAGAGGCAUUCGAUGAUGUUGAGGUGUGGCUUAGCUGGAGUGUAGAGGAAGCUAGAUUGGGGCUCUUUCCACCACAGAGGAUUCUCUCCAGUCUCUAGGCCCCUAUUCCUGGUCUUGAUGUUAAUUGUCCAGCACUGCCAUCAAGCCUGUCCCACUGUCCCUAGCUGCGCCUCACCUUGCCCUCCUCCUCCAGCUGCCUCUUGAGGUCCUCCAGCUGCUGGGUGUAGGAGAGCUUGCCUCGGGUCAGCUGGGAUAUCAGUGCCUCCUUCUCAUCCAGCUGCCGAGACAGCUCCCCUGGAGGUGGGAACAAGAGGGAGGAAUUUGUGGGCUACGGAAGGGGGCAACUAGUACCUGACCCUCAGGAAGGCGCAGGGCUGGUGAGGGGCACCCACCGUUUUCAGUCUGCAGCUUAGCUCGCUGGGUGGUGAGGUCAUUGAGGGAGCGUUGGGUCUCUUCCAGCUUUGCACGGUACUCAUUGGCCUGGUCCUCCAGUGUCCGGGACACCUUCUCCAGGUUUGCCUUCAGGCAGUAAGGGACAACUUGUCAUGGAAAGGGACUGGGUGGACCAGAGAAAGGAUGGGAAGGCCAAGGUGGGGAGAGCACAGGGAUCAGGGGGGUGAAAAAGAGAGGUGCUGACAGGAACAGUCUGAAAGGGGUACAUGAACUAAAGGAGAGAUGGUGAAGAGCUGUGGGCAGAAGGAGGGAGGGUGAGGGAGAGAGCAAGACAGAGACCAAGAGGUGAUGAAGGGGUGACGAUGAGAAGACAGGGCAGAGACAGUGGAAGGAAAGCCACCGAGACAGAGAAGGGGGCAAGAAGGGUGAGAGGGCAGCCCACCUUGGCCUUGAUGAUCUGCUCCAUGUUGGAGGUGACAUCAUCCAGCUCCAGCUUGAACUCGCUCUUCUCCUUCUCCAGCUUCUGCUUCACACGCUGCAGGUUGUCGAUCUGCUCGCCCAGCUCGGCCACGCUGUCGGCGUGCUUCUUGCGCAGGGCCGCCGCCGUGGCCUCGUGCUGCAGCGUGGCCUCCUCCAGGUCCCGCCUCAUCUUCUGGAACUCGGCCUCGCGUUUCUUGUUCAUCUCGAUCUGCACGGACGUGGCCCCGCCGGCCUCUUCCAGCCGCUCGCUGAUCUCCUCCAGCUCCCGGGACAGGUCUGAGCGCAGCUUCUCCACCUUGGCCCUGGCGGUGCGCUCAGCCUCCAGCUCCUCCUCCAGCUCCUCGAUGCGAGCCUGGGCCGGGACACAGAAAGCUCAGACCCACCGCCUGCAGACCCCACCCCAGGGCUCUAGAACACGCAGGUCUCUCCAGAGCAAUGGUUCUCAACUAGGGAAAGUUUUGUGCCAUGGGGGAUAGUUGGCAAUGUGUGUAGACAUUUUUGCUUGUCAUGACUUGCCAUCUAGUGGGUAGAGGCCAGGGGUGCUGCUAGACAUUCUGUGAUGCACAGACCAUCAAUAUCAAUUUGGUUGAAGCUGAAUCCUCAAAGCACUUCCUAGAGACAUUUAGACUCAGUCUGAGAAUCUGCAGCCCUGAAUCCAGAGAAUCUGUGUUCAGAUGGGGAUUUGGAGCUCCUGUGAGAUCCUGAAUCUCAAAGAUUCCACAGAUUCACUAGACUCUGCUCUGCUAAACAUAAGGCAGGAAAGCUGGUGCUUGUAUCUUACAAACAGUUGCAAUAAUAUGCCUGAAAACAAUCAAAAUGUUUAUAAUCCGGGCUCCCGGGUGGCUCAGUCAGUUGAGCAUCUGACCUCAGCUCAGGUCAUGAUCUCACGGUUCGUGAGUUAAAGCCCCACAUCGGACUCUGGGCUGACAGCUCUGGAGCCUGGAGCCUGCUUCCGAUUCUGUGUUUCCCUCUCUCUCUGCCUUUCUCCCACUUACGCUCUUUCUCUCUCUCUCUCUCUCUCUCUCUCUCUCUCAAAAAUAAACAUUAAAAAAAAUUUUUUUAAUGCUUGUAAUCUUCCAGGUUCACCACGAAGUCCAGUCAACCAUACUCCUCACUCUCCAGGGGUUGCCUUAUUUAUGUCUAGGGUGGGUUCUACUUUUGUUGUUCCCUUCCAGGCCAGGUGAGUGCUAGAAAGUUGGCCUUUUCAUCAUCAUGCCCCUACCUCAUUUUUCUGGCCUUUUCCUUGGCCUUGACUAAAUUGGGAGAAUGUCCCAUCUUUCAUUUUGAUCUGUUCCCUGACCAGCCAGGAGCAAAAGGGAGUAUCAAUCAGUGGAAUCCCUGAAUCUGUGGUUGAGGACAGUGUUAAUGGAAUGUGUGUGGGUGGGCCCUGGGAGCAGGAGAGAGAGGGCCACCAUGCCUCUGCUCUCAAGAUGAGGAAGGUAGGACUAUGUGCAAGAGCUUGGGCAGGAAGAAGGAGGGCCUCAGCCUACGGCCAAGACCUGGUGAGGAUAAUAGCACUGUUGUUCUGGGUCUAAGGGCCAAAGAGUUUGCCUAGACCCAAAUAGAAGAACCUGGAGAAUGUCCUAAUAUUCUGACUAUAACUGAGAGGGGCACCCAAGAAAAUGGAAGGGUAAAUUAUCACUGAAGGCAGGCUAGCCCCUGAGCAGCUCCCCAAAUGAGUGGAAUUGUGUUCAUGAAUCACUUGUAGCCUGGACCAUGGGCCCCGAAUGCUGAAGAGAGAUCAAUGCUCUCCAAUAGCCACAGUGUGACCAGAAAAUCAGAGGAUAAGGCCUUGCCUGUAAUAGUUGAGUACCUGCUGUCUUUGUGGCCACUAUGUCCAGACCUGGCCAUGCAGCUUCUGUAGCUAUAAAAUGGGAUCUCAGUACCUGUCUGCCUUGCUUCCAGGGCUCUUCUGACAAACACAGGGCUCUUCUGACUAAAAGCACGUUAAAAUUCAGGGUGCACUAAAAGUAAGGGUGGCUAUGGCUGUUAAUUUAAUCUCCUCCUGAAGAGGGAUGAGAAGGCCAUGGAGAAAAUAAAAGAACACCUUCUAGCUAGUGGCAGGCUGACUGCUAGCUGUCUAAGUGGUUUUAUAAACAUUAUCUCCUCUGGCCUUCUGUAAGGCGGGUGCUAUCAUCUCAUUUCACAGGUGAGAAGAGAAUCUGAGACUCAGCAAGGGGAAGUGAAUUGCUCAGGGUUGUAGGAGUUGACUGAAUACCAUAGGGUCAGUACCUGGGAAGAGUAUGAUCAGAGCACUCCAUAGGAAGGUGCUCCAUGAAGGCCCUCCUCACCUCCAUGUAGAGGGGAAAACGUACCAGAAGAAGAGCAAGAGGAGACUUGAACCCUGUCAUUUGUGCUGGAGGAAAAAAACCCAUGAGACAGGGCACAGCUCAUCAAGAGAGCCCUUUUAGUAGACUUGUUUGCCUCCCAAAAUAGCCCUGCUGAAAUAAGACUCAUUGCUCUAAUGGGGGAAGGCUGGUGUUCCCAAGUGCCAAGUCAGGGGGCAUGGUGUCUCCAAGGCCGCCUGGAGUUGUAGAUGCUGUCUGGAACCCUACAGAGCUCUUGCAGCCUCAGCUGCCUCACCACUGAGCUCCCCAUUUGGCUGCACCAGGAAGAACUUCACCUGGUUUUCCUUCAGUUUCUUCUGCAGCUGAAGGGCCAGUGCCUGCUCAUCCUCAAUCUUACUGUUCUGCUGAUUAAUGUCAAACUCCUUCCUGGAAGAGAAGGGAGGGGUGACAGGUGGUCUUCCGUCCUCUGUGCCCAUUCUCUUCUCUUGCCUGGCAUGCUAGGACAAGUCCCCUCCCCACUGGUGCAGAGGGUGAAUGAGGGAGGGCUGUUUGACUUCCUCAUUCACACUGUGCCCGGGACAGUCAUGGCCAGUGGGGUUGUGGCAUCCUGUGCUCUAACCCUCAGGCCAGACAUCUCCAUUUGCCCCUCUGGGACACCCCAGGCUCCUACUUCUUGAGUUUUUCUUCAAGCUGCUGCUUGUCAUUCUCCAGGUCCAUGAUGCUUUCCUGGGUCAGCUUCAGGUCACCCUCCAGCUUCCGCUUUGCUCGCUCCAGGUCCAUACGAACCUUCUUCUCCUGCUCCAGGGAUCCCUCCAGCUGGUGGAGAGAAGAAAAUAAACAAGGAGUUUCUGCGGGAAUGCACUUAGAAGUGGAAUUGGAAGCUCCAGGGCACCCUGUAUGCACCUCUGCCGGAAAUCUCCAUAGAGGAUGCGGUUGGGGAAGCCCUUCCUGCAGAUGCGGAUGCCCUCCAGCACACCAUUACAGCGCAGCUGGUGCAUGACCAGGGGGUUGUCCAUCACCCCUGCAGCAGGAAAAGAGGAGAAAGGGUCAACCUCAAGGCAAGUGGAUACCAAGUACCCUCUCUAGAUUAGACCCUUACACAUUGCUCACCCGGAGCCU